rnacentral:rRNA from 1 species
CCCUGCCAUUUGUACACACCGCCCGUCGCUACUACCGAUUGAAUGGCUUAGUGAGACCUCCGGAUCGGUUUUCUUCGAGCUUCGCGGCUUGUUGAAUGCUGAGAAGUUGGUCAAACUUGGUCAUUUAGAGGAAGUAAAAGUCGUAACAAG